UUUCAGGUCAUCUGAGUUGGUUAUCCAUGUUGACAUUUUGAAAUGUUUUGGUUGAUCCAUUUUGAAUGUGAUUCCAUGUUUUAUUCUGGCUAUUUUCCACCAUGCGCUUUAGCCUGAUAGUUGUCGAAUCCGUCGGAUCUGUCGUAACAAUUAAUGAGGCCAGAUCCAACGCCUCUAUUUUUUUUAAUUUCUUUUCCUUUUUUUAUUUUUAAUUGAAUUUUC
rnacentral:lncRNA from 1 species